AGCCUCCCAGGUAGCUCGUAUCUGCUUGCACCCAGGAGGCCUGGAGCUGGGAGUCUGGUGCAUUGACCCUGCUGCAGUCGGGGUGACUCAGCCAACCCUCAGCAACCAGGCAGCAGAUCUCACAGCCGGCCUUGAGCCUCCCACCCCUUCUGACAACUCCCGGGCUCAGGACAAUGGCUACCCUCACAGUGUAUAGACACGGAUCUGACUCCCAGUACGACACAUCAUACGUGGUGGGUGCUCGGGCUAGAGGUGGAGUAAAGUGCUCAACAACAUGGAUAAAGGGAACAACAAACUGCCACUUGUGGGGGCCUACUGUGUGCUGGUGGCUGUGCCAUGAUUUCAUUCCAUUCCCAGCUGGUGGCUCUGGAAUCACCAGCCACCCCAUCCCUUUUACAGGGAUGCCUGGGUGGCUCAGCGGUUGAGCAUCAGCCUUUGGCUCAGAACGUGG